GGGACAGCAGCUGGAGAUGGAAAAUUGUCAGAAGGACAACCACAUGCUUCAUCCGGGCCACAUGCCUUGGGGGGCAGCUGACCAUUAGUGCCCAGCUCUGCCAGGAGUCUGUUUCCUGAGGGUUGCUGUGACUGUGAACUCCCUUGGCUGCUCUCCUCCAGCGAGUCCUCGGGAACAUCAGACAAGAUCUGUUCUGAUUUACUGGAGUUAUGCCUGGUGUCAGCUGAAAGCUGUGAUCUUGGCUGCAUGCCUGGUUUGUCCAUAGCUAUAGGAUGUGUCUUCGAGGGAAAUGCUCCUGCUAUUGAUUCACCAGGGGAACAGAAGCAUCCAUCUCCAUCAGGAUCAGUAUAUUUUGACCACAAGCUGCUGUCUGGCUCCAUGGACAAUGCUGAAUGAUGAUGUGCUGGUGCUCUGCAAAGGCAAGAUGUGCUGGCCUGAGGUGUUCGAGCAACACAUGGGCUCUGGCCCUCCUCAUCCUUCAUAUCCUCUCCAGAAGGCUGCAAAGCCUUUUCCAAGACAUGUUCAGGUAACUGGGACCAUGGCAUGGAUUCAUCCACUUCGACUGGUAUGCUUCGACCCACAAAAGUGCCUGAAAAAUUGAGAGAACAAACACUGGAGAUGGACAGCCACACAGUCAAACGCCUAUCAUUCGUUAUCAUUCAGUGACUGUGAGCUGGAAUACUGAAGAGCAAUAUGUAUUCUUUAUAUUCUUUAUACUUUAAUGCUUUUUAAAAAGAUGGCAGAAAACAGCAAGAAAGGUCUGGCUGACUUUUGGCAAAACAGAAAGUAGAGGGUUAGCUGGAGUGAAGCUAGUAGAGAGUUACAGUUUGGACUAACCUGAUACAGAGGCCAUUUCCAAAUUUUUUUGUUGAACUGGAAGUGAGUCAGCUGCCUUACUGCAAGGCCAGGAUUUUUCAGCAAGCUGGAAAACAAGAAAAAGGACUCUUGUGAACAUGGUACAAUUU